rnacentral:rRNA from 1 species
UACGUAGGGACCGAGCGUUGUCCGGAUUCAUUGGGCGUAAAGAGCUCGUAGGCGGCCACUCAAGUCGAAUGUGAAACCUCGAGGCUUAACCUCGAGCCUGCAUUCGAUACGGGCUAGCUAGAGUGUGGUAGGGGAGAUCGGAAUUCCUGGUGUAGCGGUGAAAUGCGCAGAUAUCAGGAGGAACACCGGUGGCGAAGGCGGAUCUCUGGGCCAUUACUGACGCUGAGGAGCGAAAGCGUGGGGAGCGAACAGG